rnacentral:rRNA from 1 species
UACAGAGGGGGCAAGCGUUAUUCGGAAUUACUGGGCGUAAAGAGUGCGUAGGCGGUUUUCUAAGUUUGGUGUGAAAUCUCCCGGCUUAACUGGGAGGGUGCGCCGAAAACUGGAAGGCUUGAGUAUGGGAGAGGUAAGCGGAAUUCCUGGUGUAGCGGUGAAAUGCGUAGAUAUCAGGAGGAACACCUGCGGUGUAGACGGCUUACUGGACCAUAACUGACGCUGAGGCACGAAAGCGUGGGUAGCAAACAGG